rnacentral:snRNA from 1 species
UCACUCAUCUGGCAGGGGAGAUAUUAUGGCUAUAAGGUAGUUUUCCCUUUGUGAGGCUAUUGCACUCCAGUUGUGGUGACUCCUACCAUAUCUCCAAUUAUGGGAAAUAUGACUACAUAAGUUGAGUGUGGUGGAAACUCCGA